rnacentral:rRNA from 1 species
GACGAACGCUGGCGGCGUGCUUAACACAUGCAAGUCGAACGGAAAGGCCCUGCUUUUGUGGGGUGCUCGAGUGGCGAACGGGUGAGUAACACGUGAGUAACCUGCCCUUGGCUUUGGGAUAACUUCAGGAAACUGGGGCUAAUACCGGAUAGGAGCUCCUGCUGCAUGGUGGGGGUUGGAAAGUUUCGGCGGUUGGGGAUGGACUCGCGGCUUAUCAGCUUGUUGGUGGGGUAGUGGCUUACCAAGGCUUUGACGGGUAGCCGGCCUGAGAGGGUGACCGGCCACAUUGGGACUGAGAUACGGCCCAGACUCCUACGGGGGGCAGCAGUGGGGAAUAUUGCACAAUGGGCGGAGGCCUGAUGCAGCAACGCCGCGUGCGGGAUGACGGCCUUCGGGUUGUAAACCGCUUUCGCCUGUGACGAAGCGUGAGUGACGGUAAUGGGUAAAGAAGCACCGGCUAACUACGU